GGUUAAGCGACUAAGCGUACACGGUGGAUGCCCUGGCAGUCAGAGGCGAUGAAGGGCGUGCUAAUCUGCGAUAAGCGCCGGUAAGGUGAUAUGAACCGUUAUAACCGGCGAUACCCGAAUGGGGAAACCCAGUGUGAUUCGUCACACUAUCAUUAACUGAAUCCAUAGGUUAAUGAGGCGAACCGGGGGAACUGAAACAUCUAAGUACCCCGAGGAAAAGAAAUCAACCGAGAUUCCCCCAGUAGCGGCGAGCGAACGGGGAGGAGCCCAGAGCCUGAAUCAGCAUGUGUGUUAGUGGAAGCGUCUGGAAAGGCGCGCGAUACAGGGUGACAGCCCCGUACACAAAAGCGCAUGUGCUGUGAGCUCGAUGAGUAGGGCGGGACACGUGGUAUCCUGUCUGAAUAUGGGGGGACCAUCCUCCAAGGCUAAAUACUCCUGACUGACCGAUAGUGAACCAGUACCGUGAGGGAAAGGCGAAAAGAACCCCGGCGAGGGGAGUGAAAAAGAACCUGAAACCGUGUACGUACAAGCAGUGGGAGCCCCACCACUAAGCCAGUGGUGAACUCCACAUACGCAUCCUUUGCUGAGGAUACGGUUAACGGAGCGAAAGCGACGUUCAACCUCAAAAGAAGC
rnacentral:rRNA from 1 species